rnacentral:rRNA from 1 species
AGACACGAAAGCGUGGGUAGCAAACAGGAUUAGAUACCCUGGUAGUCCACGCCCUAAACGAUGCAUAUUUGGUGUGGGUCAUUCAGUUGAUCCGUGCCGGAGCUAACGCGUUAAAUAUGCCGCCUGGGGAGUACAGUCGCAAGGCUGAAACUCAAAGGAAUUGACGGGGGCCCGCACAAGCGGUGGAGCAUGUGGUUCAAUUCGACGCAACGCGAAGAACCUUACCUGGGCUCGAACGGCUGGUCAACGCCGGUGGAAACAUCGGUACCCCGCAAGGGGGUCCAGUCGAGGUGCUGCAUGGCUGUCGUCAGCUCGUGUCGUGAGAUGUUGGGUUAAGUCCCGCAACGAGCGCAACCCUUGUCCUGUGUUGCCAUGCCCGAAAGGGCGGAACUCGCAGGAGACCGCCAGCGAUAAGCUGGAGGAAGGUGGGGAUGACGUCAAGUCCUCAUGGCCUUUAUGUCCAGGGCUACACACGUGCUACAAUGGCCGGUACAAAGCGUCCCGAAGCCGCGAGGUGGAGGCAAUCGCAAAAAACCGGUCUCAGUUCGGAUUGCAGGCUGCAACUCGCCUGCAUGAAGCUGGAAUCGCUAGUAAUGGCAGAUCAGCACGCUGCCGUGAAUACGUUCCCGGGCCUUGUACACACCGCCCGUCACAUCACGAAAGUGGAUUGUACUAGAAGUCUGCAGGCUGACCCGCAAGGGAGGCAGCGGCCCAAGGUAUGAUCCAUGAUUGGGGUGAAGUCGUAACAAGGUAACCGUA